GGGGGGCAAGCGUUGUUCGGAAUUACUGGGCGUAAAGGGCUCGUAGGCGGCCAACUAAGUCGGCCGUGAAAUCCCUAGGCUCAACCUGGGAACUGCGUCCGAUACUGGAUGGCUUGAAUCCGGGAGAGGGAUGCAGAAUUCCAGGUGUAGCGGUGAAAUGCGUAGAUAUCUGGAGGAAUACCGGUGGCGAAGGCGGCAUCCUGGACCGGCAUUGACGCUGAGGAGCGAAAGCCAGGGGAGCAAACGGG
rnacentral:rRNA from 1 species